AGCUUUUUGAAUCCGUGCUGAGAUUUCGUCAGACAUCAACCCAUUAGGGCUGAUUAGACUUACUAGAUAAGUGAAGUU
rfam:Schistosoma mansoni strain Puerto Rico chromosome 2, complete genome